rnacentral:misc_RNA from 1 species
GCUUUUGAGGCUAAGUUGGAGUCAUAUACAUGUAUGCAGAUAUCAAUAUCAUGCAGUAAUGUCUACCAGACAAACCUUACUAGGAGGACAAGAGUUCAAGCAGCUAUAUAUCGAUGAAUGGAACUCAUACGAGCUGGGUGAGGAGGGGAUGACAUCAACCCAUUCUUUUUCUACCAUCUGCACAUACUGAUUUGGCUUUAAAAUGGCUUCAAAUUGAAGUUUGUCUAUCUUCUUAGUCAAUUUCCUUGCAAAAUCAAUGGAAAAUACUAUGUUGAAGUGUUCUUCCAAGUAGCCAACAUCCCUGAAGACUUGGAUCCCCGCAUUGGCUUCACGAGACUUGGUAAAACCAAGUAGCAUCUCCCCAUUAAUAAAUUCUUGAUUGCCAGAACAUACCUGAAUAUACUCCACACCCAUCACAUGUAAAUGCUCUAGUAGGUUCUGUGAUGAAAGCACAGUAACAAUUCCUGCA